rnacentral:rRNA from 1 species
UGGGGAAUCUUAGACAAUGGGCGCAAGCCUGAUCUAGCCAUGCCGCGUGGGUGAUGAAGGCCUUAGGGUCGUAAAGCCCUUUCGCCGGGGAAGAUAAUGACGGUACCCGGUAAAGAAACCCCGGCUAACUCCGUGCCAGCAGCCGCGGUAAUACGGAGGGGGUUAGCGUUGUUCGGAAUGACUGGGCGUAAAGCGCGCGUAGGCGGAUCAUCAAGUCGGGGGUGAAAUCCCGGGGCUCAACCCCGGAAUGGCCUUCGAGACUGGUGGUCUUGAGUUCGAGAGAGGUGAGUGGAAUUCCGAGUGUAGAGGUGAAAUUCGUAGAUAUUCGGAGGAACACCAGUGGCGAAGGCGGCUCACUGGCUCGAUACUGACGCUGAGGUGCGAAAGCGUGGGGAGCAAACAGG